GUUCUGGCAUGCAUUUGUCCUUGCUGUCUGCUUCCACGCUGCUCAACAAGUUUGCCAGUGGCCCGCUCUGGGGAGGGGUGUAGGCAUCGUCCUGCACCUAAACGUACACCUCUUAAGGUUUAGGAUCAUUCCAGUCUGCCAGGGACCACCGCAGCUCUCCUCACCUGUGCAUGCCUCGCGCUUCUUGUCUUUGUUGAUACUCUGACCUAAAAAGACUGCUUGCCUUGAACAAAAAGAAAAUUUGAAACACGCUUGAAGGAAUCCUUUUAGGGCCAGAGGCAAGUGUGUGUCGUCUGUGCACAAACGCAUGAGGUGUCCAGCAGGGUGGGAGUUUUUCGAGUGUACUUGCAGCCCCGCAUGUCUUGUCAGAACUGAUCAAAGCAGUGGAACCUCUAAAGUCAAACACGAGCUGCUCAACUUCUGAUGUGCUCGCAUUAGGUAACUAUUUUCGUCGUGAAAGUAAUGGAAAUAAUCAGUUUUGGGGUAAUUAUUAUUAUUAUCCACACCAUCUAAUAUCCGUAUUCAUUUGUAGUCAUUAUUCAAACAUGACCAUCAAUGUUAUCAUUCUUAUACAGACAUACUAUGUAUGCAUACCCAUAGUUUUUUUAUACAGCAUCAGUGCUUCAUGAUAUAAAAUGAGGUUUCAUCUUGCCCCUAAUUGUAUAAAUACUGCCAUCGUAUACCUGUAAUUGUUUGCUAUUUACUAAUUACCAGAGACCAAGAAGCACCACCACAGUGCCUUCUGUUUCUUUUCUUCCUAGCUAGCUGGCUAUCUAUCUCACUGGCUAUGCAUCAACUUUAUCUAUUUCUGCCAUCUACAUUACUGUGUCAAGGUAUUUAGUACACCUCGAAGACCAUAUCCAAAAGAAACGACAACAAAAAAAGCCAAA